rnacentral:rRNA from 1 species
UACGUAGGGGGCAAGCGUUAUCCGGAUUUACUGGGUGUAAAGGGAGCGCAGGCGGCGUGGCAAGUCAGAUGUGAAAACCCGGGGCCCAACCCCGGGACUGCCCUUGGAACUGCAUGGCUGGAGUGCGGGAGGGGCAGGCGGAAUUCCUGGUGUAGCGGUGAAAUGCGUAGAUAUCAGGAGGAACACCGGCGGCGAAGGCGGCCUGCUGGACUGCGACUGACGUUGAGGCUCGAAAGCGUGGGGAGCGAACAGG